GGUAAAUGCUGUUGAGGCACCCCCAAGUGUGCCUUCAACGUCAGGUCUGAAUGAGAAUGAAACUCCAACAUUGGCUACUGAGGAGAAUGAAGAAGUUGAUAUUGGCAUGGAGGGAAAAGAAAAUCAAAGUGUGCGCUCAGAAGUUGGCACUUCACAGGACUUUAUGACUGGAAUAAUGAAGAUUGUUCCAGAUGUUGAUAACGAAGCAGAUUACUGGCUUUUGUCAGAUGCAGAUGUUAGCAUCACUGACAUGUGGAGGACAGAAUCUGCUAUUGACUGGAACGAGUUGGAUGUAAUUCAAGAAGAUUAUUCAAUCGCUAAUGUCA
rnacentral:misc_RNA from 1 species